AGUCUCAAAAGUUCGAAAAACGUAGUCUCACGGUCUCAAAUCUAUUGUCUUUUGAGACGUGAGACUACGUUUUUCGAACUUUUGAGAC
rnacentral:pre_miRNA from 1 species